rnacentral:rRNA from 1 species
AGAGUUUGAUCCUGGCUCAGAUUGAACGCUGGCGGCAGGCCUAACACAUGCAAGUCGAGCGGAUGAAGGGAGCUUGCUCCUGGAUUCAGCGGCGGACGGGUGAGUAAUGCCUAGGAAUCUGCCUGGUAGUGGGGGAUAACGUCCGGAAACGGGCGCUAAUACCGCAUACGUCCUGAGGGAGAAAGUGGGGGAUCUUCGGACCUCACGCUAUCAGAUGAGCCUAGGUCGGAUUAGCUAGUUGGUGGGGUAAAGGCCUACCAAGGCGACGAUCCGUAACUGGUCUGAGAGGAUGAUCAGUCACACUGGAACUGAGACACGGUCCAGACUCCUACGGGAGGCAGCAGUGGGGAAUAUUGGACAAUGGGCGAAAGCCUGAUCCAGCCAUGCCGCGUGUGUGAAGAAGGUCUUCGGAUUGUAGAGCACUUUAAGUUGGGAGGAAGGGCAGUAAGUUAAUACCUUGCUGUUUUGACGUUACCAACAGAAUAAGCACCGGCUAACUUCGUGCCAGCAGCCGCGGUAAUACGAAGGGUGCAAGCGUUAAUCGGAAUUACUGGGCGUAAAGCGCGCGUAGGUGGUUCAGCAAGUUGGAUGUGAAAUCCCCGGGCUCAACCUGGGAACUGCAUCCAAAACUACUGAGCUAGAGUACGGUAGAGGGUGGUGGAAUUUCCUGUGUAGCGGUGAAAUGCGUAGAUAUAGGAAGGAACACCAGUGGCGAAGGCGACCACCUGGACUGAUACUGACACUGAGGUGCGAAAGCGUGGGGAGCAAACAGGAUUAGAUACCCUGGUAGUCCACGCCGUAAA